UCUCCUUUAACCAAGACAUUCGCAUGGGAACUGCUUCUAGCCAUGAUGAAGUAAGAAAGGACUUAGCUUUUUAUUGUGAGCAAUUAGAGAACUGAACGAAGUACAGGAAGCAGCUGUUUUCAGACUGAACACGAGGCCUUGUAAGACUAAUCUCUGUUAGAGGGGAAACAGAUGGGAUGAGCAUGAGAAACACCUGGGCCUUCUGCUUGGAGGCAAUGUAUAAACUGCAAGUGCAAGAAGGGGAAACCCAGAGACCCCAGAGGCCUCGUGGAGCAAAGCAUCUGGCACAGGCCAGCUGGCCAAGGGAGUAAUUCUGAUUGGGUAUCAGGGAUGUCCUAUGAAAGAUGACACUUAAGUGAGACCUGAAUGAUGAGAAUGAGCCAGCUAUCUGGGGCAAAGCACCACAAGGAGAAUGAACAGCCAGAGCAAAGGCCCUAAGGGAGAAAGCAGCAGCACGCAGGCCAGUGUGGCUGGAGCAGUGUGAGAGCACAGAGGAAAAGUCACGUGAGGAUGCAGCAAGAAGGUGGCUGUCACAAGCAGGAAGAGGGCCCUCAGCAGGAACCAAAUCAGCAGACACCUCGAUCUUAGACCUCUCAGACUCCAGAACUGUGAGAAAUCAAUUUCUGUUGUUUGGGCCACCUGGUCUGUGAUAUUUUGUUAUGGCAGCCCAAGCAGACUAAUACAGUGGCCAAGAUCUUGUCCAAGAAGAAUGAAUGAAUCUCAUGAAAACACUGAAUGCA
rnacentral:lncRNA from 10 species